rnacentral:rRNA from 1 species
UACGAAGGGGGCUAGCGUUGCUCGGAAUCACUGGGCGUAAAGGGUGCGUAGGCGGGUUUUUAAGUCAGGGGUGAAAUCCUGGAGCUCAACUCCAGAACUGCCUUUGAUACUGAAGAUCUUGAGUUCGGGAGAGGUGAGUGGAACUGCGAGUGUAGAGGUGAAAUUCGUAGAUAUUCGCAAGAACACCAGUGGCGAAGGCGGCUCACUGGCCCGAUACUGACGCUGAGGCAUGAAAGCGUGGGGAGCAAACAGG